rnacentral:rRNA from 1 species
AGUGAACGCUGGCGGUAGGCCUAACACAUGCAAGUCGAACGGCAGCACAGUAAGAGCUUGCUCUUACGGGUGGCGAGUGGCGGACGGGUGAGGAAUACAUCGGAAUCUACUUUUUCGUGGGGGAUAACGUAGGGAAACUUACGCUAAUACCGCAUACGACCUACGGGUGAAAGCAGGGGAUCUUCGGACCUUGCGCGAUUGAAUGAGCCGAUGUCGGAUUAGCUAGUUGGCGGGGUAAAGGCCCACCAAGGCGACGUUCCAUAGCUGGUCUGAGAGGAUGAUCAGCCACACUGGAACUGAGACACGGUCCAGACUCCUACGGGAGGCAGCAGUGGGGAAUAUUGGACAAUGGGCGCAAGCCUGAUCCAGCCAUACCGCGUGGGUGAAGAAGGCCUUCGGGUUGUAAAGCCCUUUUGUUGGGAAAGAAAAGCAGCAGGUUAAUACCCCGCUGUUCUGACGGUACCCAAAGAAUAAGCACCGGCUAACUUCGUG